rnacentral:rRNA from 1 species
CAGUCGCCGCGGGAAUACGGAGGGUGCAAGCGUUACUCGGAAUCACUGGGCGUAAAGGACGCGUAGGCGGAUUAUCAAGUCUCUUGUGAAAUCUAACGGCUUAACCGUUAAACUGCUUGGGAAACUGAUAAUCUAGAGUAAGGGAGAGGCAGAUGGAAUUCUUGGUGUAGGGGUAAAAUCCGUAGAUAUCAAGAAGAAUACCUAUUGCGAAGGCGAUCUGCUGGAACUUAACUGACGCUAAUGCGUGAAAGCGUGGGAAGCAAACAGGAUUAGAUACCCGAGUAGUCCCUGUCUCUUAUAA